UAAAACUUUAAUCCGCCUAUUCUAAAAAUUGAACAAAAUGUAAACCCGUUUCAAUUGCAAAUUUUGGUUUAUUUUUAUUUAUUUUAUUUGUUUGGUUUUUUAAUACGUUAUAUUACGUAAUUAAAUACCAGAAUUUGUAUAAACAAAUUUAUAUAUAAACUACGUUUCACCUGCAAACAUGGUACAAAUUUAUCCAAAAUCAAAAUAAUAAUUAAAUAAAAUCCAAAAUUCGAAUAUUUUAACAAAAUUUAAAAAACUUUAACCAAUUUAAUCGAUUUAUGUCCCAAAUUCCACCAAUUUGCAUAUUGAAGAUAAAAUUUAAAUCGUUAUAAAAAAUUUGGCUAAAUAUUAUAUCCAAUUUGCAACUCGAAUAUUUUUACAAUUUUUAUUUAAUUUAUUAUAAAAAAGUAAAAUUUUUGUUUAAUUAUUUAAUAUAUGGUAUUAUUAUAACAAACGACGAAAAUCGACAAAAUGGCCUUAAACCUAACCCGAAACGAUUUUUGCGUGGACCCACAAAUAUAUUGCAAAAACGCAAUUAAACCAUAAAUUUAAUUGUCGAACUACGGGUUUCAGGGAUAAACCCUAAAAGUUUACAGCAUAUAAAUAUAUAUAAUAGCAAAACCGAUUAAAUACCACUAAUUCAAAACGUUAUAAUUAUUUCCCCUAUUUAAUAAAAUCUAAAAUAUAAUAUUUGUAAAUUUAAUAAUUAUAUUACCAAAUAUAAAAAGCAGUUUUAUAACAGUAAACGCUACUGUUCCAAUAGUAAAUAAAUUAAUUAAUAUAAAGCGGCUUUUACCUAUUAAAAACAACGCAAACAUGUCUAACUUUGUGUAAAAUUUUACUGUAACAAUAAAAUAUUAUUAUGGGCUCUUAUUGGGUAUUAUUAUAAAUAAGGGUAAAUUAUUUACAAAUGUAUUUCGAAAAAAAUUAUAUUGCAAAUUAAAUAUUAAAAAAAAUAUAUUUAUAGUAUUUUACCCGCAAAUAAACAAACAAAUAAACAAACCUAAUUAAAUUAUAAAAUAAUAUUUUAAAAAUUACCCAAAACCAAAAAAAUAGUUUGGGUAAAUUUUUCACCUUUAUUAAAAUAUAUAUAUAAUAAUAUAUUCCAAAAAAUAA
rnacentral:sRNA from 1 species